UUCUACUCUGAUUCUAUCAUCCAUGACAAUGGCUUCCUGGCAGAAUACAGAACCAAACGUCCUCAGCAGGUCUACCUAUCUUCCCCCACUGGAAUGUUUGGUUCUCCUGAUAUUGACAUGAAUGGCCAGUACGAGCCACGUAUGGAAUAAAGGCAUUAACCUCACAUUCACAUACUUUGAGCUCGAGGGCCCCACUGGAUCCCUCUGCAGAUACGAUUAUGUCAAGAUCUAUGAUGGUGACCGUGCUAAUUAUCCACUGGUUGGCACAUUCUGUGAAGAUGUAGUACCCGCACUAGUGCACUUCAUCUCGGA